rnacentral:rRNA from 1 species
AUCGAACGCUGGCGGCAGGCCUAACACAUGCAAGUCGAACGAGGGGCGGACGGGUGUGUAAUGUCUGGGAAACUGCCCGAUGGAGGGGGAUAACUAUUGGAAACGGUAGCUAAUACCGCAUACCAUGGGAUGUGCCCAGAUGGGUGUGGCUUGUAGGUGGGGUAACGGCUCUCCGAGGCGACGAUCCCUAGCGGGUCUGAGAGGAUGACCGGCCACCCUGGAACUGAGACACGGUCCAGAGCCCUGCGGGAGGCAGCAGUGGGGAAUAUUGCACAAUGGGCGCAAGCCUGAUGCAGCCAUGCGGCGUGUAUGAAGAAGGCCUUCGGGUUGUAAAGUACUUUCAGCGAGGAGGCGUUACUCGCAGAAGAAGCACCGGCUAACUCCGUGCCAGCAGCCGCGGUAAUAC